AAUACGUCAGCGGCAGACGGGUGAGUAACGCGUGGGAACGUACCUUUUGGUUCGGAACAACACAGGGAAACUUGUGCUAAUACCGGAUAAGCCCUUACGGGGAAAGAUUUAUCGCCGAAAGAUCGGCCCGCGUCUGAUUAGCUAGUUGGUGGGGUAACGGCCCACCAAGGCGACGAUCAGUAGCUGGUCUGAGAGGAUGAUCAGCCACAUUGGGACUGAGACACGGCCCAAACUCCUACGGGAGGCAGCAGUGGGGAAUAUUGGACAAUGGGCGCAAGCCUGAUCCAGCCAUGCCGCGUGAGUGAUGAAGGCCCUAGGGUUGUAAAGCUCUUUUGUGCGGGAAGAUAAUGACGGUACCGCAAGAAUAAGCCCCGGCUAACUUCGUGCCAGCAGCCGCGGUAAUACGAAGGGGGCUAGCGUUGCUCGGAAUCACUGGGCGUAAAGGGUGCGUAGGCGGGUCUUUAAGUCAGGGGUGAAAUCCUGGAGCUCAACUCCAGAACUGCCUUUGAUACUGAAGAUCUUGAGUUCGGGAGAGGUGAGUGGAACUGCGAGUGUAGAGGUGAAAUUCGUAGAUAUUCGCAAGAACACCAGUGGCGAAGGCGGCUCACUGGCCCGAUACUGACGCUGAGCA
rnacentral:rRNA from 1 species